GAGGGGUGGCAGAGCGGUUCAAUGCACCGGUCUUGAAAACCGGCGUCCGAAAGGACUCGUGGGUUCGAAUCCCACCCCCUCC
rnacentral:tRNA from 1 species